AUUGAACGCUGGCGGCAGGCCUAACACAUGCAAGUCGCACGAGUGGCGGACGGGUGAGUAAUGUCUGGGAAACUGCCCGGUGGAGGGGGAUAACUACUGGAACCGGUAGCUAAUACCGCAUACACUCGGAUGUGCCCAGAUGGGAUUAGCUAGUAGGUGGGGUAAUGGCUCACCUAGGCUACGAUCCCUAGCUGGUCUGAGAGGAUGACCAUCCAAACUGGAACUGAGACACGGUCCAGACUCCUACGGGAGGCAGCAGUGGGGAAUAUUGCACAAGGGGCGCAAGCCUGAUGCAGCCAUGCCGCGUGUAUGAAGAAGGCCUUCGGGUUGUAAAGUACUUUCAGCUGGGAGGCGUUACUAGCAGAAGAAGCACCGGCUAACUCCGUGCCAGCCGCCGCGGUAAUAC
rnacentral:rRNA from 1 species